rnacentral:rRNA from 1 species
ACGCUCGACACCUACGGGGGGCAGCAGUGGGGAAUAUUGCACAAUGGGGGAAACCCUGAUGCAGCGACGCCGCGUGAGCGAAGAAGUAUCUCGGUAUGUAAAGCUCUAUCAGCAGGGAAGAAGAUGACGGUACCUGACUAAGAAGCACCGGCUAAAUACGUGCCGGCAGCCGCGGUAAUCUGAGCGGGCUGGCAAGGC